rnacentral:rRNA from 1 species
GCUCAAAUUUGAAAGCUGGUACCUUCGGUAUCCGCGUUGUAACCUCGAGACACGUUUUCCGUGCGGCGCUAUGGACAAGUUCCUUGGAACAGGACAUCGUAGAGGGUGAAAAUCCCGUACUUGCCAUGGAUGUACCGUGCUUUGCGAUACGUGCUCUAAGAGUCGAGUUGUUUGGGAUUGCAGCUCAAAAUGGGUGGUAGACUCCAUCUAAAGCUAAAUAUCGGGGAGAGACCGAUAGCGAACAAGUACCGUGAGGGAAAGAUGAAAAGCACUUUGGAAAGAGAGUUAAAAGUACGUGAAAUUGUCGAAAGGGAAGCGCUUGAAGUCAGCCAUGCCGCUCAGGACUCAGCCUGGCUUUUGCUUGGUGUAUUUCCUGGGUAGCAAGUCAGCAUUGGUUUGGAUCGUCGGAGAAGCAUAGUUGGAAUGUGGCGCCCUCGGGCGUGUUAUAGCCUUCUAUUGGAUACGACGAUCUGGACCAAGGAACGCAGCGCGCCUUAUGGCGGGUCUUCGGACACCUUCGCGCUUAGGAUGCUGGCGUAAUGGCUUUAAGUGGCCCGUC